rnacentral:rRNA from 1 species
AUUGAACGCUGGCGGCAGGCCUAACACAUGCAAGUCGAGCGGAUGAAGGGAGCUUGCUCCUGGAUUCAGCGGCGGACGGGUGAGUAAUGCCUAUGAAUCUGCCUGGUAGUGGGGGAUAACGUCCGGAAACGGGCGCUAAUACCGCAUACGUCCUGAGGGAGAAAGUGGGGGAUCUUCGGACCUCACGCUAUCAGAUGAGCCUAGGUCGGAUUAGCUAGUUGGUGGGGUAAAGGCCUACCAAGGCGACGAUCCGUAACUGGUCUGAGAGGAUGAUCAGUCACACUGGAACUGAGACACGGUCCAGACUCCUACGGGAGGCAGCAGUGGGGAAUAUUGGACAAUGGGCGAAAGCCUGAUACAGCAAUGCCGCGUGUGUGAAGAAGGUCUUCGGAUUGUAAAGCACUUUAAGUUGGGAGGAAGGGCAGUAAGUUAAUACCUUGCUGUUUUGACGUUACCAACAGAAUAAGCACCGGCUAACUUCGUG